GAUGUGAGCUGAAGGGUCACGUGCACAUUUGGAAAUUACCUGACCGCUCGUUACCUCCCACGCGCAACGCAGCAGUGGUCGAAGUGUCGGGCUCGUGGAUGUUGAAUUGAGGAGCACGCGAUGCGGCGCUAGCUGGAGGCUAAUUCGGAAGCUAGCGUGUGCGUCGAGUGUCACCCUGAGGCCUAGCUCUUCAGGUUCUACAGCGCCCCUCAGUCCACAGACGGUCACACACUGACACCUGGUGGAGAGUUUGUGAAACUGCAGUUGAGUAUUGUGAAUAAAACUGAUGAUCAGCUGUUCCUCCUCUGUGUGAAGGAUCACAGCGCCACCUACCGGACGAACUACAUGUGACGCUGAAGUAAAAUGUCACAACACACCUCAAAUCUGAAAGUGACUUCCGGUGAGGUGCUUCUAAAUAAAAGCCCCAGUGUGUUGAUGGAGAACAGAUAAUAUUAUUGAUAACACCAUUAUUAUUUCCACUAUAUCAAACAGUCUGAGCUUAAAUACAACAGUAAACAGAUGCUCCGGGUCUCUCCCUCCCCAGAAGGUCAGCGGUUCGAUACCCGGUUGUUACAAAACUGAAGAAAAGCUUCAGGAGUUGUUGCACAGUGUAACUAAGGUCAUUGUAAAUAAUGUGGCUGCCUGAUAAACACAGAACAGUGAUGUAUUAUCUCCCAGACGGUGACAGAGGAAAAACCAAGAUUAAGUGUCUGAGUGAAGUUGUUGUUAAACUGGACUGAGAUCAUGUGACUGAAGGCACCAGCUGAUUCUGACUGAGUUCUGUCAUUAACAUGAAUAAUUACUGACUUUUUAAUGUUUUGGCCUUUGAACCCUGACACCAUGACUGUCAUGAGCCAUCUAUGUUGUCUUGUUAGUGUUUCAGUUGCAUGUUGUCCUCAUGUUUACAUGUUACAUAAUGUAAAUAAAUCAUAAAUAAUAAAUCUUUCAAACAAA